AAAUUCCGACUUCGGCAUCCUGACAAAACAACGGCUCUUGGCCGUUUUAAAUCGAUUCAAAUAUUCUUCUACAGAUUCGCCUGUUCUUUGUUUGAACUGAGCCAAAUCGGCAACCGAUAAUUCCGGUUCUGUUCUAUAAAAUUGUUCAUGAAAUUUUUCUUCUAAUUCGUCCCAAUCUCAGACAAAAUUAGCCGGCAGACUUGUAUACCAA
rnacentral:lncRNA from 1 species